UCAUAUAGGGACCUGUACGUCUUACAACAAGUAAUUAACAGGACAACUUCCACCUUCAAUUGAGUGUUUAAAGAAGCUAGUUAACUUAAACCUGAUUGGUUGCGGGUUCUAUGGAUCUAUUCCAGACACAAUAGGAAAUCUACAGCAGCUAACCACUCUAUCUCUGACUAAUAAUAGCUUUAGUGGACCAAUUCCGGCCUCUAUUGGGAAUCUUUCCAAUCUUUAUUGGCUGGACCUAGCCGUAAACCAGCUUGAUGGACCUAACCAGUCUCUCCUGGUCUUGAUAUGCUACUUCAUGCAAAGCACUUUCAUCUCGAUAACAACAAGCUCUCAGGCGAAAUUCCUCCUCAACUUUCAGUUCAAAUAUGAUUCUGAUACACUUGAUUCUUAACGGCAAUAAUCUCAAUGGCAGCAUCCUUGAAACCAUUAGAAAUGUGCAGACUUGGGAGGUGAUACGCUUGGAUAGGAACUCACUAAGUGGGACUCUGCCUUCGAACCUCAGUAAUCUCGUAAAUGUUAACGAGCUGUACUGGUCGAACAAUAAGAACCUUACUGGCAUGAGCCUCACCUAUGUGUAAGUCGAAAUAGUUUGACUGAGAUAACAAAUUUGAUUUGUGGUGCAGGGGUAACUAAGCAUUCUCAGACCAUCAUAAAUGGAUGAUGAGUUAAUCAUCUUUCACUAAAUGUGUUCUAUUUGUCACAGCCCUAUUUCUAUUGUGUCCUUGCUAUGUUUUCAUAGACUGAAUCUGCAGGGAUUUGAGCAACAAUAGUUUCACUGUUUCCGAUAUUCCUCCAUGGUUUUCAUCCUGACACGCUUUGACAACAUUAGCGAUGGAAAACACACGACUUCAAGGACCAGUUCCUAAUUCCAUAUUCAGCCUUCCCAAUUUACAGACUGUGUGAGUAUCAGCUUGAUCUCAAGCAGAUUUCAAUGUGAUGGAGAAAAUCCAAAUGGAACAAGCGUGGGUUCGAACACCAUGAAAUCUAUAUAUAUAUAUAUAUGGGGUGAUAAUGAUGUGAAUGUUCUAACGUGUGGGACAGGACAUUAAGUAACAAGAAGCUCAAUGGCACCUUGAAUAUCAGUACCAGCUAUAGCAACAAAUUGCAACUCAUUGAUUUGCAGAACAAUUCUAUUACGGCAUAUGUAGACACAGCUGGAGGAUACAGCAAGAACUUGAUACUUGUGGAUAACCCAAUUUGCAAAGCAGUUCCCAACCGAAUACUCCCCCAUACUCCACGCCACCAAACGGCUGUCAGCCUGCUCAAUGCAAUUCGAAUCAGAUUUCCAGCCCCAACUGUAAAUGUGCAUAUCCAUACAGCGGAACUCUAGUCUUCAGAGCUCCUUCCUUCUCAGACUUGGGGAACUCAAGUUACUACAUAGCUCUUCAGAGUUCUCUCAUGCAAUGUUUCCAGAAUUUGUCUUCCUGUGGAUUCAGUUUCCCUGAGUAAUCUGAUCAAAGACUCAACUAUGAAUCUUGACCUGAGCCUACAAGUCUUCCCAUCUGGCCAAGAUCGUUUCAAUCGAACAGGAAUUUCUACCAUUGGGUCUCUACUUAGUGGCCAGACUUUUAAGCCUCCACCAGGCAUUGGACCCUACUAUUUUUUGGCUGAUCCAUAUGGGUACUAUGCUGCAGGCAACUUCGAAUUUCACAGUUUCAAUAAAAAGUAAUACUUGGUAUGUGCUGUCUUAUUGUGAUGCAUCUCUUUCUCCCCCUCUCCCUUUUUCGCAUCGUUUAGAGGAUAUAGUGGUAUGUAAUUGGAUCAAACUUGUAACAAGUCCAAUCACAAAAUUGCAGCAUGAAGCACCCCGUGGUCAAGCUUCAACCAAGAUAGAUAGGCAUCUCAGAGCAUAUUUGUAUGGAGGUGUUGCAAUAAAGGUCUUUUAUCUUAGUAGAUAAGUAGACAAUGACUCUUCUAGAAUUUAUACUUCUUUGUUUCAAACAACUAAACGCUUUGUGCUGUCAGACCAAAACGUGUAACUGCGCAAGGCAGCAAGAGAUAAAGACAAAGCGUGUGGCUAUGUAACAACCACACAUUUUCUUUGUUUUUCUUUCGAUCAUUCCGAUCCUGACUUGGGGACA